AAAAACAUGGCUUUUUGAUAUUAAUUUAAAGUCAGGCCUGCCCUAUGAGAUUUAAAUGGCUGCAGUAUCCUAACUGUGCAAAGGUAGCAUAAUCAUUAGUUUCUUAAUUGGAAGCUGGAAUGAAAGGUCGAAUGAGAAAAUAGCUGUCUCUGUAAAAAUUUUAUUGAAUUUUAUUUUUAAGUCAAAAAGCUUAAAUUUUAAUAAAAGACGAGAAGACCCUUUAGAGUUUUAUAUUCAAAAAAAAAAAUAGGAUUUUUAGUGUAAAUAAUUUUAUUUUUUUUAGAAAAUAUUUGGUUGGGGUGAUUAGAAAAUUAAUAAAACUUUUCUUUUAAAACUACAUUAAUUUAUGAAAAUAUGAUCCUUAAAUAAAGAUUAAAAGAUAAAAUUACCUUAGGGAUAACAGCGUAAUUUUUUUUGAGAGUUCUUAUCGAAAAAAAAGAUUGCGACCUCGAUGUUGGAUUAAAAUAAAUUUUUGGGGUAGUCGCUAAAAUAAUUAGGUCUGUUCGACCUUUAAAAUUUUACUUGAUCUGAGUU
rnacentral:rRNA from 1 species